UCAAGGUCAAGAGAGAGCCUUGGUUUAGCUGGCUGAACUUGGGCCUCAUGCCACUCCAGACAAGACCUGGCUGGUGAGAGGCAGGACCUGAAGAAGAGGUCUCUGUGACUUCCAUGUGAGAGAGCAGCCCAGGUCCCACCACAGCCGCAUAAAAUGGGGAACAGGAAAUUUCCCUAAAGACUCUUCAGUUCUGUUGAUCUACUUGUCUAUUUCUGGGCCAAUACCACACUUUAAUGAGCACAGCUUUAUAAAGUGUCUCACUACCUGAUAAGAUAUGAUCUAACCUUUCGCCAAAUGGACAGCCGAUUAUCGCCACAUGAUGGAUUAACUAGAUCAUCCUUUCUCCACUGAUCUGAAGUAAAACUCCCUCCUAUACUGAGUCACCGUGUCCAGAUUCAUGACCAGAAAGAGACCAUGAAGGAGUGAAGAAGCUUGGUUAAGAGGCCACACUCAAGCUACUGCAACCAAACACUCUGUCUCUGCUGGAGGUUUCGAGACUAUUUGGAACUAUUGACUGUCUUUCUCACUGCAUUCAUCCUGUAACCACCCAAGUCCUCCCUCAAAGCUCUGAGUCAGGAAAGAGUGACCACGGAAGCUAAGUUUCCAGGAUGACCACCCUCUGUUCCUGCUGCUCUGCAUAUACAUACUACUCGCAUCAAGAGAAGGAGUGUAAUUCUCCCCAUGAAUCUCAACUGUCCUUCGUAGCAGAAGGGACAUACUAGGAUCGGUGAGCCUGGGUCAUAAGAAGCCUUGCAGCUUCUGACCAGGCCUCUUGCAAUGUUUGGUCUUGGAACACACACUCCUGCAACCUACCUGCUGUGUUCUGAGAAGUUCAACCCGUGUGUGAGUCCACUCCAGAGGAUAGUCUCAGCAAGCUCCCAGCUGAUGAUGAGCUACAUGAGUGAGCCUUCAGAUGACUCCAGCCCCAGCAGCCAUCUGACUGCAACUACAUGAGAGACUUUAAGCAAGAACCACCCACCCGAGCCCUGUCAACCCCCAGA